rnacentral:rRNA from 1 species
AACGCUGGCGGCGUGCCUAACACAUGCAAGUCGAACGGAGUUACGGGAGCUUGCUCCUGUAACUUAGUGGCGGACGGGUGAGUAACGCGUGAGCAACCUGCCUUACAGAGGGGGAUAGCCAUUGGAAACGAUGGAUAAUACCGCAUAACGUAUUCGCAUGGCAUCUUGUGAAUACCAAAGGAGCAAUCCGCUGUAAGAUGGGCUCGCGUCCGAUUAGAUAGUUGGCGGGGUAACGGCCCACCAAGUCGACGAUCGGUAGCCGGACUGAGAGGUUGAACGGCCACAUUGGGACUGAGACACGGCCCAGACUCCUACGGGAGGCAGCAGUGAGGGAUAUUGCACAAUGGGCGAAAGCCUGAUGCAGCAACGCCGCGUGAGGGAAGACGGUUUUCGGAUUGUAAACCUCUGUUCUAAGUGAAGAUAAUGACAUUAGCUUAGGAGAAAGCCACGGCUAACUACGUGCCAGCCGCCGC